GUUUGAUCGUGGCUCAUGACGAACGCUGGCGGCGUGCUUAACACAUGCAAGUCGAACGGUAAGGCCCUUUCGGGGGUACACGAGUGGCGAACGGGUGAGUAACACGUGAGUAACCUGCCCUCAACUNCUGGGAUAACGGCUGGAAACGGUUGCUAAUACUGGAUAUGAGCUGGGCCUGCAUGGGUCUGGUUGGAAAGCUUUUGCGGUUGGGGAUGGGCUCGCGGCCUAUCAGCUUGUUGGUGAGGUAGUGGCUCACCAAGGCUUCGACGGGUAGCCGGCCUGAGAGGGCGACCGGCCACAUUGGGACUGAGAUACGGCCCAAACUCCUACGGGAGGCAGCAGUGGGGAAUAUUGCACAAUGGGCGGAAGCCUGAUGCAGCAACGCCGCGUGCGGGAUGACGGCCUUCGGGUUGUAAACCGCUUUCAGUUGGGACGAAGCGUGAGUGACGGUACCAACAGAAGAAGCACCGGCUAACUACGUGCCAGCAGCCGCGGUGAUACGUAGGGUGCGAGCGUUGUCCGGAUUUAUUGGGCGUAAAGAGCUUGUAGGCGGUUUGUCGCGUCGGGAGUGAAAACUCAGGGCUUAACUCUGAGCUUGCUUUCGAUACGGGCUGACUUGAGGGAGGUAGGGGAGAAUGGAAUUCCUGGUGUAGC
rnacentral:rRNA from 1 species